GACGAACGCUGGCGGCGUGCUUAACACAUGCAAGUCGAACGCUAAAGCUUUGUGCUUGCGCUGUGUGGGUGAGUGGCUAACGGGUGAGUAAUACGUGAGUAACCUGCCCUUGACUCUGGGAUAAUCCUGGGAAACUGGUUCUAAUACUGGAUACGACAUGUCACCGCAGGGUGGUGUGUGGAAAGGGUUUUACUGGUUUUGGAUGGGCUCACGGCCUAUCAGCUUGUUGGUGGGGUAAUGGCUCACCAAGGCGACGACGGGUAGCCGGCCUGAGAGGGUGACAGGCCACACUGGGACUGAGAAACGGCCAAGACUCAUACGGGAGGAAGCGGUGGGGAAUAUUGCCAAAGGGGCGGAAGCCUGAUGAAGCGACGCCGCGUGAGGGAUGACGGCCUUCGGGUUGUAAACCUCUUUCAGCACGGAAGAAGCGAAAGUGACGGUACGUGCAGAAGAAGAGCCGGUUAAUUCGGU
rnacentral:rRNA from 1 species